AAAACGUCAGUGUGCGUCUCUGAACGCUCUGAAUUUACCGAACGCCCAGAGCGCACUCUGAACACAUCGCACAUCAUUGCUGCGUUUGGCUCUGUUGCUUCUUUAGGUCACUGUGGUAGUUCUUGUCAGUCUCCAGGGCAACCAGGACGCGUUUACUGAGGGGAUCCUGCUAGUGACUGAGAAACACGUUUCUGUCCACCAAUGGCCAGCCGGGGAACAGGCUUCCCGCUCCAUCAACCGCCCCUGCGCGUAUUUGUACGAGGCACAGAGAACAGGCACAGGUGCACAUUCAGCCACAGUGAAUUGAAGGGAUAACAUCACGAGGAGAUUGCUGGGGGAUUUCAGGACGAAGAGGAGACAUUGCUCCAGCCAGAGGGUGGUCUGUGUGGACUCGGCUUUGUUUCCAUCAUGCGUCACGAUGAGGCAGUGCUGUGUUAGCUGACUGUUCUCACUUCAGCUGUUACAUACUUCCAUGUCACCACACGUGACUGACUACCUGACCACGAUGGAAUAAGAUAAAUUAAUUAAUUUACAUUGCAUAAACGUUUCAGAGUCUAUUCCUUCUAUAAAAUCAACUCAUUCAAGUGUCAUCUGAAUAUUUGAAAUCCAACCUUUGUAAACAUUUAU